UUCAAUUUUUGGGAUCGUCUCUUUCCCCUGAUCAUCCUCAUACCUACCAUGUAGGACGAUUUUGCAUGAGGAGUGAUUGAUCAAGGUUUGAAGCUUUUGACGGUUCUGGUUGGAUCUGGGGUCUGAUCAGACGCACGAGAUUGAUCCAACUUCCAAGCUUGAUCUAGGACGAUCUAGACCGAAUCUCACUUAGCUCCAGGUGACUGACGAUUUUGGUUGGGUGGACGGUUGUGAUGGUGAUUUUGUGCUUGUCUUGGUUUGUGUGAAGACGCAGCAGGAUUUGGAGGCAAAGGAAUGGGGUUAUUGUGCAGGUUAGAAUAUCAGGUGAUCGUUAUCGAAGCUGAGGUGGACUUUCCGUCACGUGGUGUAGAAGGGCGCUUAUUCUUGUAGUCUUCCGCUGUGUAGUGAGUUGGUAAGAGAGGUUGCAUGUUGAAUUGAUAUUCAGUUUAAUUUGUAAACUAUUGUAAUGUAAUAUGCGACUCUAAAGAACGAGUCGGUAUUGACAUUGUGAGUUUAGCUUUUUU
rnacentral:lncRNA from 1 species